rnacentral:rRNA from 1 species
UACGUAGGGAGCAAGCGUUGUCCGGAAUCAUUGGGCGUAAAGCGCGCGUAGGUGGCCUCGUAAGUCCGCUGUGAAAGUCAAAGGCUCAACCUUUGAAAGCCGGUGGAUACUGUGAGGCUAGAGUACGGAAGAGGCGAGUGGAAUUCCUGGUGUAGCGGUGGAAUGCGCAGAUAUCAGGAGGAACACCAAUAGCGAAGGCAGCUCGCUGGGACGUAACUGACGCUGAGACGCGAAAGCGUGGGGAGCGAACAGG